GGCUUUUGAUACACAGCUGGGGAAAAUAUUUAAAAAAAAGAACAAACCUGUUGCUCGUAUACCCGUAAGAAUGGCGUGUUAUUACGUCCCUCGAAGAUCGAUGCUGGGAUUCGAUUCCUCCGAUUCUUCUUCGGAAUAUGAAGAUACUGACGAAGAAUCCUCUUCCGAAGAAUCCGAUGGCCUGGGAGAAGCGACAUACUUAACAUCCAAACAUUCCGUUGGAACAAGUUUUCAAAUUGGUCAAACAACUGUCAAUAUUGUCGCUGGGGAUAUCGUCCACCAACCAGUGGAUGUAAUUGUGAACAGUGCAAAUCCCAAUCUCGAUCUGACCCAGGGGAGAGCAUCGAGUUCCCUCCUCGCGGCGGCAGGGCCAAGGAUCCAGAGGGAGUGUCAACAGAAUUAUCCCCGGGGACUCAGGCCGGGGGAAAUCGCCGUCACGUCCGGGGGAAAUUUACGCUGUACCGCAAUCUAUCAUGGUGUUCUAACCAGAUAUUCAUCGCAGCGGGAUGAAAAAGUAAUUGUUGAGUGAUUUGGUUUCUGAAUGCCUGGAUCAAGCUGAUACAGACGGUUACCAUUCUAUCGCCUUCCCACCGUUUGGGACCGGAUACCUUUCUUAUCCAACACCUCGGGUCGCUGAUAUAAUGUUAGAAUGUAUAGAAGAUUUCACGUCACGAACAUUGACAACUGUCUAUAUCGUCAUCUACUCACAAGAAAGCAGUUGUUUUCAGGACUUUCUUAACGCUGCAAGUAAAUGUUCAUCAUCUGCCCCAUUACAGAGUGUAGGCUGGUCAGCGGGACGUAGUCACCCACCAAUAGCCAGUGGUUCUGGGGGUAGCGCUAGCAGUGUACGGAUCGGAGCCAUAAAUGUACGAGUGGUAAUUGGUGCCCUGAACCAGAUAAGCGCUGAUGUAUUGGCCCAUUGUGCUCCAAAGGAUCUUCAGCUCAGCUCUGGUGCCUUGUCGCGGGUUUUACUAAAUGACGCUGGACCUGGACUUCAGCAUGAACUUAGCAGUGUUGCAAGGAACGGAAUCAAUUAUGGUUCAGUUGUCACUACCCAAGGACACAAUUUAAAGUGCAAAUACGUGCUUCAUGGUUCACUGCCCAAGUGGGGAACUUCCUCUCCAGAUCCUUUGAAAUGUCUAGAACAAUUUGUGUCCGGAUGUUUGGAAACUGCAAACUUCAACUCCAUGAGAUCAAUUGCAUUUCCUACCCUCGGCAUCGGUGCUUUAGGGUACCCAACAAAGGCAGCCGUUCAGGGAAUGGUCCAGAGCAUUAAACGAUUCGCUCACAAACAUCAGGCGUUCCUCACAGACAUCUCGAUUGUAGUCUUUAGUGGAAGCGGCGACUGUGCGACCGUACAAUAUGAAUUAUCAAAGGAGCUUGGAAUUAGCAUGGGUGCAUCAGGGUCAAUAUCUCAUUACCCACCACCGAGUUCUUCUUCACAAGGGACGUCACGGACUGUGGCAGGUGGAUCCAUCAACAGAAUCCCAGUCAAUGUCGUAGUAGGAAGUCUAUCGAAUCAAAAUGUUGACGUCAUCGUGAACAGCGUCGGCCAGGACCUGGCCAUGACUUCCGGUUCUUGUUCUGCCAUUGUAGCAGCUGCCGGUCCCAAUCUUGCUAAAGAGUUACUUCAGAAUAAUACCAGCCUUCCUUACGGAAAAGUCGCAGUUACCAAGGGUUACAACCUAAAAUGUGCUGAGGUUUUCCAUGGGGCUUUGCUACCAUGGUAUUCCAAAGGCGCUGGUAACACGAAUCAGCCGGAUAUUGUUCUUGAAGAGUUUGUCUAUAAAUGCUUGGAAAAGGCAAUGUCAAAAGGACACAAAACAAUCGCUUUCCCAGCUUUGGGUGCCGGAAAUCUCAAAUUUCCACUGAAUGUAGCAGCUGCGUGCAUGGUGGCUGGCAUAGUAAAGUUUUCCAAGAAAUACAGCAUUGCUGAAGUUCGAAUCGUGUUGUACGGUGGGAGCCCAGACUUACGUCAGCUGGAAAAGGAGUAUAAAGAUGAAAUAUCACAUCCAGGAAGAAAAGUGAACCCUGUUGGACACCCGGUCCCCCACAAACAGUCUCACCAGUACGCCGAACCCCUUCGUGGCUCACAAGACUGGUUUUCCUGGAAAUAUCGCGAGGAACUGAGAACACCAAAAUACUGGACAAAAUACACUUACAGGAAUACUCUGAAGGACUGGAAUCUAGACGUAAGGACACAUUUUCAUUCGUUACAACCUGUGGAUCAAGUUGUGUCUAAUUCGAUUGCGGCAGCCUUAAAAAGCACGAUGGGUAUGAAGACUAUCAAAAGUAUCCAAAGAGUGGAGAAUGUCGACCUGUUCCAGAAAUACGCAGAAGAAUGUCAGAGGUUAUUCCGGAAAGCCUACGUUGAAGGAAAUUUUGUUCCAUUGGAUAAGAUAAAGUCCUCACAAGGACCCGUAAAGGUAAUGAAAAGGUUAGAUCCUUCAAUGACACAGCACACCUAUCCGGAAAUCAACGAGUAUUACUUUUUCCACGGCACGAAUGCCCAGCAUGUUGAUGCUAUUUGUUCUCAAGGAUUGGACAGUAGGUUGGCCAACUCUGGGAGACUUGGGAGUGGUGUGUAUGGGGCGGAAGUGGCCUCUAAGUCCGCUGGCUACGUUGGUCCAAACAGUAAAGGUGAAUGCCCCAUGUUCCUGAUCAGAAUGUGUCUUGGCGAUGUAUACUUGACUGGACAAGGAGGUGCCUUCAAAAGACCACCAAAUAAGACAAAUUCGAGCAAGGGUGGAGGAACCCAGCAAGAUCUGUACGACAGUGUGGUGGCCAAUGGUGGAAGCUUCUCGGACAGAGAGUUUGUGGUGUACGACAGAAAUCAGGCCUACCCAGAGUACUUGAUUUGGUAUAAGUAGACUUUUUGAAAACUUGAAAGAAAGAUCCCGAUACCAGAAAUGCACAUUGCCAACUCAGCUCAGUGAAUAUAAAAGUGGACAGAUUCAACUUUGAUAUUUGUUAUACAAUUGGAUGUUUUUUCAAUGGGUUACCUUUUGAACUGCUUUUUACAAGGAAUAUUUAAUAAAGAAAAAAUUUUCAAAAUGAUUUUACGAACAAACAACAAAUCCAAUAUUCAAUUUUAGGUUUUGUAUAAAGUAUAUUGUUAAUUCUUUUUUGUACAACUAUAUAUUUAUAUUUUAACAUAUGUUGAACAAUAAAGACUUCUUUUAAAGCUC
rnacentral:misc_RNA from 1 species